UGAGCAUUUAGAGGUGGAAGCAGAUAAUCUGUGGGGAGAAAGGAGAUUCCUUUGGCUUCCCCAACCCAAAUCAGUCAUUCCUUAUUCACAUUUCAACCAACUUUCACCCACACACCCCGCCCAGGGGCGUAGAGAACUUCGCGGACGAGGCGAGUCGCACAGCGGGCUCCCUCGCUAGCCAGAAGUCCCUAACUUUCCCCCACCGCCCCAGGGGCCCGGAGCCCCCCGGCCCAGCGGAGAAGGCGAGUGGGGGAGCGGGAACAGGCGCGGGCACCUACCGUGAUAUUCCUGGCCAGCCCUGACCUAGGUAAUGGAAAGGAAAGAGGGAGCCCUGGCCAAAGGAGAAAGUGCAACAGGGACUGCAGGGGAAAAUGAGCCGCUGAACAUGAAGCGCUGGCUGCAGGAAUAAUGCAUAAAAACAUACAUUUUUAACAGAGGAUGGGUUGGCAGAAGGACCACAGCAUCAGGAGAUGGGAGCAGACCUGCCAGGCUUUAAUGCAUCUUCCCACCCCACAGUUGGAUCCCAACCAAUGGCCAGAUACAGCCACUGUGAGCAUUAGUGACAUGAUGUAAUUGGAAAGAAGAGCGUACCUGCCAGCAUUUUUGAAGUGCAAAAAUGGGACAGUCCAGGGGGUCCCUGCUGGAUUAAUUUCAUUGCCAGAGGGAAAGGUUCCCCCUUCAAGGAAGAACAAGUAGAAUGGAACAUAUCUUGCAUCUGUCCUACAUCCUUUCCUCCCCUCAUACAGCCUGCUUCCCUGGCCCACCUCCAUGCAUCUGAUGUAGAUUCUACAUACUAGACCCAAGGGAGGUCAUCACCAUCUGCUGUACCUGGCUGCACUGCCAGCUCUACACCAAACUGAAGCAAACCCACUACUAGCAAAAUUUCGUUACAAUUUUUUAUUUUAUUCAGUCCUAUUCACUAGCAGAGGGAACUUUUAUUAUUGUUUUUGACAAGCCUGGAUCAGACCAUGAAAACACUCAUUCCCAUGGAGACUCCUCAUAAAGAGAGGGUACAAUUGGUAGCCUUUGAUGAAAGGGAGAAGACAAUCUGCAACCCCAUUCCAACUGGCCUAAUAUUCUGGGCCACUGCCUUGGACACUGAACCUCUUGAUGGUCUCAGAUGAGACUCAAGCUGGCUCUGUAUCUUCCUUUUAAAAUCUAUGUAUUUAUUUUACAUUUGUGAGUCUCCAUGUAUUUCAGUGUUCAUGAAAGUGAUAGGCUAAUAAUAUCUUUUGGUACAGCCAAGCACUGUGGAGGCAAAUGCUCUGCAAGCUCUCUCACAAACCUCUGCCAAUACAAUACAUUCAAAGUCUUGCUAUGGAAUAUGCACUUUUUCCUAGGAAGAGAUUUCCAACAUUGCCAAACUGUGCCAAAUAAUGCAAGGUGAUUUUAUGAAGUGAACGUUGAAUGAUUUAGGCCCCUUAUCUGAGCCAUUCCCCAAACAUAUUCACACUUAACUCUUCACCACUGUGGUCAUGGCUGUACAGUUUUGUGCAAGAUUGGAUUUACAAUUUUGGGGUGAGCCAACAAAUUCAUUUUGGGGUGUUACCAAACAUAACUGACUUUCUUUAUGUAUUAAAAAACAGGCAGGGGUAGAGAAGAGGGAAUCUUUGGGCCAUCACUUGCUUCCACUGCAGCAGGAAAAGUGGAGCUCAGCUGUUUCUACUGGGAUGUAGGUAUAGUUGCCAACACUGAAUUUUUUUCAAAGGACAAUUCUCCAAAUAAACGUGGGUAGGUAAUCUGCCAGAGGCAUUUGGGGCCUGAUCUAAUUCCCACUGAUGUCAAUGGGAGUACUUCCACAGAUUUCAUUGGGAGUUGGAUAGGGCCCAUUCUCACAAAUUUUAGGUCAAGUAUCAGGGGGUAGCCGUGUUAGUCUGUAUCUACAAAAACAACAAGGAGUCUGAUGCAUAGCUAUGCAUCUGAAGAAGUGAGGUUUUUACCCAUGAAAGCUUAUGCCCAAAUAAAUCUGUUAGUCUUUAAGGUGCCACCAAAAUCCUUGAAAUUUUAGGUCAUUUUCUCUUUGUUUCCAUGUGCUUAGAAUCCACUGUAGCUAACAAUAUUAAUGCAGGUUCUCAAAACAGCCCAUCCCAUCAUUUUCUUCCUAAACUUACAGAGACCUACCAGGUAAGUGAAGUAAGGUAAAGGAAUGCAAGCAAAUUAUAUGUACUAACCUAGAAGCUGGGUGUCUCUCCUUGCUUAUUUCCUUCCUCCAUUUCUUUAUCCUUUUUUCUCUCCUCCCAUGUCCAACCCAUCCUACCUGUCUGUCUCCAUCUCACAGCUCUUCCUUUAUUUCUUAUUCCUCUUUCUUGUCUUCUCACCUCUACUUUCUUUGAAGUGCAGCAUCUCCUUCCUCUUCCGCGCACAUUUCCUCUGCAUUCUCACAUGUCUCAAUAAUCAUGCCUAUCAAAUUUCCUGAUUUUGGUAGUGCUCCAUAAGUUCCUGAAUGGGAGUUUGAAUUUCCCAGGGAAACAAGAAGACUCUACCUACAAACAUCCCUUGGCUCUAGGUCUCAGCUAGGUUGAUCCAGGAUAUGGCUGGAGUAACCUAGCUGAGACUCUAGCAGGAGUGUUGGCAUAAAGCAUUUUACCUUGGCAUCCUGUUAGACCUCAGAGACCAUGGGGUAUGUUGGAAGUAGAGUGCCUUACAGACCUGGUUCCACUCAGUGGGAGCUGCAGCUGUGUGGUUAGGAGGAGCAGCACCACUGGACUCAACCAUCCUUCACCCUUCCAGGUUAGAAACAUUGUGUUUUAUGCAGUCUGCUUUCAGAAAAGUGAGGGUGUUGAAUCUUUCAUAUGAGAUUUUACCAACCAGUGCAGUGACUCCUUGACUGGUGUAGACAGUUACACUCCCAUGAUUCAUUUUGUAAGAGCAUGAGUUUGCCCCAAUGUCUUUGGCCAGUAUUUUCCAUUCACCCCUCUGCUAUUUAUUAAUAGUAGAGAGAUUAUUAUUACUCCAGUUUAUAUAGGAAAAGUGACUAAAGAUCAACCUGUGCAUCUCAAAAUGAAAACAAAAGCUGUAAUAAAUAAUUUACAUUUUUAUAGGGUCUUUGAUCAAAGGAUCCUCAUGAGCCAUCUAAUAAAGCCACACAAAACCCCAGCAUCAUUGUGAUAUAUGGUAAAGGAUUGGGGAGAUCACAACACAGCAUGGCUGCAGUCCAUACUGACUUGUGAAAGCUAAAUUGAACGGCAUGUAAACAGCAGCGUCUUUAUUAAUUUGGCUAUGGUAUGUGGUUUUGCAAGGUGCAAUGUAGGCUGUAUAUGUUGAACACUACUGACCUAUAAAGAAAGAACCAACAUUAGAACAUAUUGGAUACAGAUAAACGGUUUCAUGGAAUAGAGUAGGAGAGAGCUGUUUUGCCAUUUUGAUCAUCUGGAUGAUUCUGAUGCUGAUCCCGUCUCCACAUUCUUUACGGCUAGCACCAAGAUAAAGGAACUGACUAGACUUUUACAUAUGCAGAUGAAAAUCACAGAAAUAUUCUCACCAUAGUAUCCAAGUGCCUUGCAGCAGUGCAUUAAACAACAUGACUACACAUCUGUCUUGUGUUGUUUGGAACUAGUGAUGUCAAAGAUCCAUUCAUUCAUUGUUCCACAGCACUCAAAGUCUUUAAGGAGAAUCAAAAACAAGACAGGAAGUUGAAACACUUUCUAUUUCACCACAGCUGAUAAGGAUUUUAAGAUGGAGACACAGCGUGAAAAGUUAAAAGUGAAAAAUCUUCUUUCCACUGGAUAUUUCUAUUUAAAACUCAGCAAUGCAAACAAACUACAUUUUCUAUGCAUGUAUUCCACCCAUGACCACUGCACAAGUGCAUAUGCUGCAUCUGUACUUCUUACUUCUUUAACGGUUUCAUUGAAGAUAAAUCACUGAUGGAUAAGGAAGAAUGGUGUGUUUGAUACAGAUAAAUGGUUUCAUGAGAAACCAUCUUUGUACCUGAUACAAUGGCAAAAUUGCUCAUGAACACUUCAUCCUUGAAAAAAUAUUACCACAUUAUUAGAGGCAGUUUUACCCCUGGGCUUAACAUGAGCUGUAGCUCAGGCAUGUUAUUAAGCUCAGACAGUAGGGCUGGUUUUUAACUGCACACCAGUCGAUGGUCUAGAUAUUGGGAUACAAGGUAUUCAGCAAAUAAUUCCAUUGUAAUUGCAGGACACAGUCAUAUCAAGUCACUCAGAAUAUAUUUUCCAUCCCACCCAUUCUUGCCUCAGCAAUGCAGCUGAGAAAAUAUGAAAAACGGAGAUCCCGACACUGCAGAAUACAAAUUAGGGACAAUCAAGACAGUUCUAUUCCAAGUAGCCAAGUUCUUCUCCAGCUACCCCCUUCUUACAGGGUCAAAUCAUGAUCCCAUUAAUUGAGGUCAAUGGGAAUUCUGUUGCUGUCUUAAACAAGAUCAAAAUUUGUUCCUUUCUGCUGUAAAGUUCAGCUGAGGUGUCUAUCAUAUGAGUGCUGUCUGUGCACAUCAGGAAUAGUUAGUAGCUAGUCAAACUUGCCUUCCCUUUCAAAACAAAGUAUUUUGUUUAUUAAUUCUUCUAUUCUCUGUUCCUACUUAUGCAACAACUGCCUCAAUUACUUACCAGAAAGGGCUGGGGCAUCUUUGCCAUGCCUAACAAUCCUUCUGGAUGAAUUCCUUUUCUGUGCACGGUACUUGUCAUGGUCCUACAGCAAUGCAAUUUUUUCUUGCCAGUUACAUGAACUUUGAUCUUAAGUGGGGCACAAGUCAUUUCUAAACAAAGCCUUAAAAGUGAAACUGUAGGCAACUUUCAUGCCUAAGUUAUUACGAGAUUUUAAUUUUUCUGUGAUGGGAACAAUGGGAAUUGUUUGGCUGCUUCAUUUUCCAGUGGAGUGGUAUAAUAUGUAUUUUGUUUUCUGGCAGCUCUGAAUCUCACCAUUUCAUCUGAAAAUAUAACAUUUACCAUCAUAUGUUCUCCUUCUCUCUCCUUUACAUUGCAUUUCCUUCAAAUUAUUUUAAAUGAACAUUUCCUUAUUGCUAAUUGUUAACAUUAAUGAAUUGUGA